CACGUAGGGGACGAGCGUUGUCCGGAUUCAUUGGGCGUAAAGCGCGCGUAGGCGGCUCGGCAAGUCGGUCGUGAAAUGCCGGGGCUCAACCCCGGGACUGCGUCCGAUACUCCCGAGCUGGAGGCAGGUAGGGGAGAUCGGAAUUCCGGGUGUAGCGGUGGAAUGCGUAGAUAUCCGGAAGAACACCGGAGGCGAAGGCGGCUUGCUGGACCUGGUCUGACGCUGAGGCGCGAAAGCGUGGGGAGCGAACAGG
rnacentral:rRNA from 1 species